rnacentral:lncRNA from 1 species
UAUAGAACAUAAUAGAUGUUUUCUACAGUACCUAAUACUCCAUAGAGUCUAAAUGGAGUAUCAGGGAAGGGCAUAAUAGACUUUACACAUUAACAGGAAAAAGAAAACGCCCCUCCUCCAGUACUCCUGACCCGUUUCUCUGCCCACGCCGGCCCUCGUCCUUCUCAGCACGCCGCCGCCGCCCUCUACCCAGCCCGCGCUCCCUCCGUGCCGGCACAGUCCUCUCCCUCCAGCGCGCCGCCCUCCACCUAGUCCGCGUAUUUGGCUUUUCAUCCACACCCUUAGGAUUUCGUGAUAAGAACAUAAACCAAAGUUCGUACACAAAACAACCAUUACAGAUCAUCCCAUCAAGGAGUGCCACAACAAUUCUGCAGGCAAGCAACAAAUCUUGUUAAGAAAUUGCUGAAUACCAACCGGCAUGGUAUUAUCAACCUUGACUCCGUGUUGAUAAAACUCUUGUUCUUACUCCCGCAUUCCUCCACAGCAGUUGGCGGCGGCCAGCUGCUUGCCCUUUUCGGUGAGCAACGAAGAAAAGAAGAGGGCGCUGAGCAGGCGAGCAGCUUAUCACCAGACACUCUCUCUCUCUCUCUCUCUCUCUCUCUCUCUCUCUCAACAUUCAGAAAGAACAUAUCUUGCACUGAACAACUGCAUCUUCUCAAAGUUCAGACCAAUUCACCUUGAACGCCAGGGCCGGGUCGAUAGAGGACGGUGGCUGUGGUUAGCAGGAACACAGCCUCCAGGCGCUACCUUUUCAUCAGCGGACCAGUUGAGCACAUCGAUGAGGACCGGGAGUGCAGCUCACCGCGCGGCGGCCCUUGGGGCAGGCGGCAACGACGUUGUAGAGCGCAGCGAGCACCCACGAUGGAACCGGGGCAGCGGAGGUGGUGUGCGACGCCGGCGGAGAAGAGCGGCUCAGCGAAGUGAAUCGACGUGAAGAGAAGGGCGGGAGGCGGUCUGCUUCAGUGGAGGCGCUCGGGAGGUGGUCUGACGCGGUGGCGGCGGAGGGAGUGGAGGCCUUGCGGCGCUGGCAGAGAAAAGCGGCUGGGCGAAGUGAAUCGACGGAGAGAGAAGGGG